GGAAUAAGUAGGAGUGUUUAUGUAAUAGAGUUAUUCGGAUUGGGCUGAGGAGACUUACAGCUCUUCGAACUCCCUUCUGGAGAAGAGAGAGAGGGAGGGAGAGGGAGAAGUAGGAAGAGAGAAAGAGAGAGAGAGCAAGAGAGAGCGAGAGAGAGAGAAAGCAAGCUCCUGUUGGCUAGAAACUGAAAAAGCAUUAUCCAAGAGCCUCAGGAUGUCCUGUAUUCACCUUAGUACACUGAAAAAGAUAACAAGAUUGCGAAUACCAAAACAAUGCUAUACCUCAGCUAGCUUUAGUUACUCCUAGCUAAGGAUCUGGAAUAAAUGGGGGAGAACAAAGUGUUUCUGAAGCAUAGCCUGAACUGUCCCCAAAUGGGGACAAACAUAUACACUUGUUUGCUUGUUGCAUGCUCACAUGGAUUCGUUGUGCCCUUUUCUAGUUCUGAUUGGUUGAAUUCCAGUUAAAUGGCAGUGCCUAACUUAACCUCGAAUCCAGCAUUAAAAGACCUGUGAGGUGGACUCUGGAAUGGGAUGCUGUCUAUACUGACCUGCAGAAGAAGGUGAAACUGCUUCUGGAAGCUGGACACUGCUGCUUCGGGACAACUGCCAAAUCAAGAAUAGAGUCAUUAAGCAAAAUGAAAUAAAUUGUUUUGAUAAGGGGAAAGGUAGAUAUAUAAGUGACAGGUCUUCCCCCUGUGAUAAGUAAAGGAACAUUGAGUGGUGCAGUGAAAAUUGUGCUGGAUUUGGAAUCGGAGGACCUGGAUUGCGAUCUCAGCUCUUCGACUCUUCCUCCUCCCUCCUUAUCCUUUCUCCCCCUUGUCUUCUUGCCCUUUCUUCCUCCCCCUUCCUUCCUCUUGCAGGCUUGUCUCUGCCGCUGUCACCUCCACGGCGCCCGGGAGCCUAGAGGCGAGCUCCGCGGACCUGAGUCCCUGCUGUGGCCCAAGAGGACCGCGGGCCUCGGGCAGGUGUCAGUCUCCUAGUUUGGGCGCAGGGAGCGGCGGGGACAGAGUUUGGGAGCCGUGCGCCGAGGAAGGCAGGAGCUGGGACCAAGCCCGUGCCCUCUGCAGAGUGGAAAGAGCCGGGGCCCCGCGGAAGCCAGAGUCCAAGCCGCCGCCGCAGCAAAACCAGCGAAAUGUGGCGGGGGUCCCAGCACCCCAGUCCCCCUCGAUCUUGUCCCCCAGAGCAGCAGCCCCAGGUUACCCGACAUCCUGUGGAAUCAGCUGGGACUGUGGCUGGAUGCUGCAGCUGCAGGAAACUCAGCUUCGAGGCAGGCUCCUGUGCUGGGAGAGAAGAUGCAACAUUUUUAAAGUUUCACAAACCCUCUGGCUGCACUGGCCCCCCUGGAGCUGGAGACAAACCGAAUUAAUGUUUUAUACCUUCGGGUAUAGGUUUGAGUUUUCCCCCCCUCAUGCCAAGUAUUUAAAACCUCUAGAAACCCA